UACAGAGGUCCCAAGCGUUGUUCGGAUUCACUGGGCGUAAAGGGUGCGUAGGCGGUCGGGUAAGUUCUGAUGUGAAAUCUCACAGCUUCAACUGUGAAACUGCAUUGGAUACUAUUCGGCUUGAGGAGUUGGAGGGGGACUGGAAGUUCUCGGUGUAGCAGUGAAAUGCGUAGAUAUCGAGAGGAACACCAGUGGCGAAGGCGAGUCCCUGGACAACUUCUGACGCUGAGGCACGAAAGCUAGGGGAGCAAACAGG
rnacentral:rRNA from 1 species